rnacentral:siRNA from 1 species
AUUCUCAGCUGUCUGCAUAGUAGA